UUAACGAAGCGAGGGCUGUUAUCACCUCUCCUUAGCCCUUUAAGUGCAGCAGGCUCUUUGGUGUCUCUCGCUGAAUGCCGCUUUGUUAAUUGCGACGGUAAACAGGACACAGCGCUGACCAUCGCACUUACCACAGAACCGCUGGGUUUGGGAAAGGAGCCUGGGUCCAGCGGGAGUCACACAUGAAGGAGGGUUCGUAGAAGUACUCAGCAUUUCCUGGACUUGCUUCUAUCAUUUAAAAUGUAUUGCAUACCUUGAAGUGAAUGUAAUGGCUGGCUUAAUUGGAGAUAACUUCACUGAAGUGGCCGUGGUUACCAUUUAUGUCAGCGGUGAAUGUGCCCUUUAACGCUGUGCCCCUCAGCUUUUUCUGGAGCCUUGGCCAUAUCUGUUCAAGAUCACGUGUUUAUGCCACAUCAGUGCAAACUUGCUGUUUUUCCUACCUCAGAUCAGGUGAUUGGAUAAAGAUCAGCUUGGUCAAAGACAAACAACGAUGAGGACAAGGUACCAUCUCCAGUGCAACUUCUGUGAACUUCUGCAAGAAAGGAAUUGGAGUCCUGGCAGAGUGACCAGAAGUGUAACAUUCAGGAAAGGAAAAGCUUGGAGGAAGCCAGAUGACGCAUGCUGUGAUUGCCCAUGAGACUGGAGAAUGAGAAACCUGGAUUGGCUGGACAGGAUGGUGUCAAUUAAGCAUGUGGGAAGAUAUUUCCGGACACUGUCACAGCAUCUGAGGAACCAUAUUCCAGCUGUUCUCAGACUUUCCCAUUUCUGGAAGCCUGCCCCUCCUUCAGCUCCAACCACAAAUGUCCACACAAUAGAAAUCCAGUCAUUCUCCAAGAGGUCAGUCAAAGACUAACUAAAGAUUACCCCCGAAUGUCUCUGUUAUGUUUUCACUCCCAUCUAAGGACCUUUAGAAUCACAAAGUCAGGCAUGAACUCAUUAUCUCAAAGCAACACACCAACAUUUUUGUGAAUUUACCCUGAUAGAAUUGUGUGUUAAAGUCUUUCCCAAAGUUACUAAGGUCUUUAGCUCAGGCAUGUCCAAACUGAAAAUCAGGAUGUAAAAAAAAAUGCAAAAAAAAAAAAUUAAUAAGUCACAAACCCCCCAAAAUAAAGGAAUUAACUGGUUUUCUGUUCUCUUUAAAACUGAGGCAACUUGCUUGAUGACAAUCAGCAGUCUUGUCACUUUCAGAUGUCACCAGCUAUCUUUUGCUGCUACUUUACUUCAGAUUUGAAGUUCCAUUUGCUCUUUGCUGUUUUUUGGUUGAAAACACCCUUCGCACCAUGGUGUCUAAAUACUUGGGAAAGCAUUUUCAAAAGACCCAAAAAUGUAUGUGGGGUGCUUCAGAUUUUGUUUAAAAAGAAAGAAAAAGGAAUAACCCUUCAGAGUCCUGUCGAAAAUUUGUACAUCUGUAUAUAUUUGAUUCCUAAUGUCUUUAACCUCAACAUAAGUAUAUUGAACUCCACUGGAUCCUAAUUUCCAAUAACUUUUAGUAAGUUAAUAUCCUAGUUCAUUUUUACAAUAUUACAUGUUAAGCUUUAUGUUGAUCACUAGAACACAUGCUAUGUUGCUCAAAUAUGUACAUGUAGAAUGCUUAUGUGUGUACCCACAAAUUAAAAAAAAAAUUGAUAAAAAAUUAAACUGCUAAACCCAAACUGCAUUCAAAU